GGGGGCGAAUUGGAAUCGACCGGAUAGCCUGAAGUGUAAGUGGCGUGUCGAGGUUGGUCAGUGGGCCUCGUUAAAAGCUGACUACAACAAUAAUUGCCGAGAAUAAUCUCGCUCUCGCUGCCUAGUAUAUAGGUAGUGCCGACUGAGGGUUUUUGUCGGAGAGACCCGAAAGUCGGUUGCCAAUUCCGACUCGUUUUCAGUCACGCAAAGCACGCUGAAGACUAAAUAAAGUUCUUUGAUAGUUGAGGACGUAUCCCGUCGAUUGGAGCCGUCCCCAGCGAAACUUAAAUAGUCGACUACACACGUAGAAGCUUGCAUGGAAAUGUCGCGGGACGCGGGUUCAAAUCCCGCCGCCUCCACUU
rnacentral:tmRNA from 1 species